AGGAUCUUCUAUCCAGAAACAUUCAUGAUGGGAAGAGAAGCCUUGCUCCCCUGCUCUCCCAUUCCCCCUCUCCUGUUCUUUUAUCUCUUUCACAUAAGCUAUUAAUUAUGCAGGCUCAAUCCUGCCUAAGUUUUCCAAAUCUCUCUCAGGACAGUCUUGCAGGAAGGAGCUUGAGGAGGACAACUGCCUUAUCUCAUGUUAAUCUCUGCUGCUCUGAGACAAUGUUCUGUCGUUUUUGUGGAGGAAAUUUGGAGAACUGAAAGUUUUCUGACCUACUUCUGCCAUCUUCCCAGAAUCCUCUCCAUACAAGUGAUUUAAGAAGGCAACAUAGAUGAUUUCAGAAAGGCCUGGAGAGACUUACAUGAGCUGAUGCUGAGUGAAGUAAAUAGAACCAAGAGAACAUUGUACAUAGCAACAACAAGAUUAGGUGAUGAUUACUUCUGAUGGAUAUGGCUCUUUUCAACAAGGAGGUGAUUCAGACCAAUUCCAACGGACUUGUGAUGGAGAGAGCCAUCUGCAACCAGAAAGAGGACUAUGGGGACUGAAUAUGAAUCACCUCCUUUUGUUGUUGUUUACUUGCUUUUUUUUUCUUUUUCACUUUUUUUCUCUUUUUGAUCUCUCUUGUACAGCAUGAUAAAUAUGGAAAUAUGUUUAGAAGAAUUGCACAUAUUUAACAUAUAUUUGCUGUCCAGGGGAAGGGGGUGAGGGAAAGGGAGGGAGAAAAUUGGGAACAUAAGGUUUUGCAAGCAUUAAUGUUGAAAAC
rnacentral:lncRNA from 1 species